CUCCCACAUCUAUGUCACCAUGACAGUAGGGACACUGUAACCAUGUCGCCGUGACACUGUAACCUUGGGCUUCUCCUCGGAGCACUGUGUUGGAUUCCUUUCUCAUACUCUCUCUCCCUUGGCUCACCGGGGCUCGAGGUUUCCCAAAUUUAUAUACCCAACUCCUAUCUCCUUCCUGAACUCGUCCUGUAUCACCAACUGCGUGCUGGACAUCUCCUGAAUACCUGACGAAGAAACCAGUCUAGAUGGGUGAAAGGACUUUGCCAGGAACACACAGCAAGGUAAGGGCAGAAGCCUCUUCGAUCCAGGACUCGCUGCCUUAGUUCAUCACACCCCCAUCCUCAGAACCCCAAACAACUCCAAGU